rnacentral:antisense_RNA from 1 species
GAAGUUAUCGUCUUCGGCAGACAGCAGGGCGUGAAUGAAAUUGGGUGGAAUGUCGGCGAAACGGAUCGGAGAGCGGCGCAUUUCGCCGAACUCGGCAAUCAGCUUGCCGUCGCUGCUGAACACGCGCAGCGGUAUCUGCAGCUGGAUGUUGCGCAGCGCGUCGACUGAAGGCAGAUUCGGCGACAGGUAAAGGAAGGCACCGCUCAAACCGAGCAGCAGCCCGCAGACGAUAGCGACGAAGGACCACCAGAAAAACUUCAGCAGGCGUAUCAAGGCUUUUGGAUUUCCAGAAAA